rnacentral:rRNA from 1 species
UUCCAGCUCCAAUAGCGUAUAUUAAAGUUGUUGCAGUUAAAAAGCUCGUAGUUGAAUUUCGGGGUUAGUAGGCUGGUCAUGCCUCCGGUAUGUACUGGUCUCACUGAUUCCUCCUUCCUGAUGAACCGUAAUGCCAUUAAUUUGGUGUUGCGGGGAAUCUGGACUGUUACUUUGAAAAAAUUAGAGUGUUUAAAGCAAGCUAACGCUUGAAUACAUUAGCAUGGAAUAAUGAAAUAGGACGUUCGAUCCUAUUUUGUUGGUUUCUAGGAUUGACGUAAUGAUUAAUAGGGAUAGUUGGGGGCAUUAGUAUUCAAUUGUCAGAGGUGAAAUUCUUGGAUUUAUUGAAGAUUAACUACUGCGAAAGCAUUUGCCAAGGAUGUUUUCAUUAAUCAAGAACGAAAGUUAGGGGAUCGAAGACGAUCAGAUACCGUCGUAGUCUUAACCAUAAACUAUGCCGACUAGGGAUCGG